CACCCCUGCUUCAGUUAUUUUUUAGAAACAAAGGUGGCAUACAAAUAAGAAAAGGAAAGGAGGAAGAAGAAUAUUUGAAUUAUUUCAAAGCCCCAACACUCCACUGAUUUCAAGGACAAUGGUAGAAACAGGUUAAAAACGUAAAUGUACCUUUGAAAGAAAAAUUCAUUGCCUUUAUUCUGUUACUCUGUUUUAGCUCCCCUAUCUGGAGCUCCAUUGUCAUCACCUAAACCCCUCUAUCGUCAACUGAUUUCCCCGCAUGUGCAAGAACUCCUCUCAAACGGUUCACCGACAAAUGCGCGCCCGACAAAACCGCCGCGACAAAAUGGGGCCAUCGAAAGCACGCCCACAAAAGCGCGUCGACAAAUGCGCGCCGACAAAAGCACGCCAUCGAAAACAACGGUCCAGGCCACCUCAAAGCCAUUGCAUUGUUGUGACUACUGGCUCCUAACCUCAUUGGCUGGUGGUUGCCAUGGCAAUCGUCAACACUUCCGACAACUCAUCAUUCUGGACUGUAGCGCUAGGAAACUCUCUUCAAAAUAACUGGAGAACAACUGGAUUUGAUUUAGGAGCCAAAAUGUGGGCUUCAGGAUGUCUCGUUUGAUGGGCAUUGUGGUGAUAAAGAUGAAAAUUAACCUGGCUUGAUGAUGAUUUGGAGGACUUA